rnacentral:lncRNA from 1 species
AGAAUAUUCGUCACAAAUAACAAUGGAGAAUUUGAAGUAAUAAUUACAGAUCUGAGUGUAAUGGAUGCUGGCAUAUACAGAUGUGGUUUCAGUAGUUUCCCUCACACAUAUGAGUAUGUGGAAAUUACCGUUUCUGAUCUAAGUGGAGUAAACACAGCUCCUCUCUCGCCAAAAUCCAACAUUAAAGCAGCAGUCUGGCCGUCGUCUUCUCCCUCUGCACCCAUUGUUUCUGAGAAUGACGCAGAGACACUCAGAUAAAAGUGAAAUCUGUGGUUCUCCUAACGCCACCCUG